rnacentral:rRNA from 1 species
UACAGAGGGUGCAAGCGUUAAUCGGAAUUACUGGGCGUAAAGCGUGCGUAGACGGUAGCGUAAGUCGGGUGUGAAAGCCCCGGGCUCAACCUGGGAAUUGCAUUCGAGACUGCUCUGCUAGGGUGCGGAAGAGGGAAGCGGAAUUUCCGGUGUAGCGGUGAAAUGCGUAGAUAUCGGAAAGAACACCAACGGCGAAAGCACUCUGCUGGGUCGACACUGACACUGAGAGACGAAAGCUAGGGGAGCGAAUGGG